GAACCUUACCAGCCCUUGACAUCCUGGUCGCGGGAACGAGAGAUCGAUCCCUUCAGUUCGGCUGGACCAGAGACAGGUGCUGCAUGGCUGUCGUCAGCUCGUGUCGUGAGAUGUUGGGUUAAGUCCCGCAACGAGCGCAACCCUCGCCCUUAGUUGCCAUCAUUCAGUUGGGCACUCUAAGGGGACUGCCGGUGAUAAGCCGCGAGGAAGGUGGGGAUGACGUCAAGUCCUCAUGGCCCUUACGGGCUGGGCUACACACGUGCCACAAUGGCGGUGACAAUGGGAUGCAAUGGAGCAAUCCUGCGCAAAUCUCAAAAAGCCGUCUCAGUUCGGAUUGGGCUCUGCAACUCGAGCCCAUGAAGUUGGAAUCGCUAGUAAUCGCAGAUCAGCACGCUGCGGUGAAUACGUUCCCGGGCCUUGUCACACCGA
rnacentral:rRNA from 1 species